rnacentral:rRNA from 1 species
CACGUAGGGUGCGAGCGUUGUCCGGAAUUAUUGGGCGUAAAGAGCUCGUAGGCGGUGUGUCGCGUCGGCCGUGAAAACCUGCAGCUUAACUGUGGGCUUGCGGUCGAUACGGGCAUCACUGGAGUUCGGCAGGGGAGACUGGAAUUCCUGGUGUAGCGGUGAAAUGCGCAGAUAUCAGGAGGAAUACCGGUGGCGAAGGCGGCCCUCUGGACGGAUACUGACGCUGAGGCGCGAAAGCGUGGGGAUCAAACAGG